rnacentral:tRNA from 1 species
AAUUCCUUAUUCUUUUAUAGAUUCUCACUUUGAAAGCGAGAGAUGUUGAUUAAUUCAAUAGGAAUUU